UACUAGAGUAGCACUCGCAUAUCAAUAAGCGGAGGAAAAGAAACUAACAAGGAUUCCCCUAGUAACGGCGAGUGAAGCGGGAAGAGCUCAAAUUUGAAAUCUUAAAGGGUUUCCCUUUACGAAUUGUAGUUUAAAGAAGUGUUUUCUGUUGAGGUUUUGGUAAAAGUUCUUUGGAAUAGGACAUCAUAGAGGGUGAGAAUCCCGUAUUUGACCUUUACUUUCAACUUUGUGAUACACUUUCAAAGAGUCGGAUUGUUUGGGAAUGCAGUCCAAAAUGGGUGGUAAAUCUCAUCUAAAGCUAAAUAUUGGUGAGAGACCGAUAGCGAACAAGUACCGUGAGGGAAAGAUGAAAAGAACUUUGAAAAGAGAGUUAAACAGUACGUGAAAUUGUCAAAAGGGAAGCGUUUGACACCAGUGUUGUUUUUCUGAAAAUCAAUUAAAGAACUGUUUAUGCUAAGCUGUUUAGACUUUAUCAGCUAUCUGUUUAGUUUUGAGCUUUUCUUUAAUGCACUUUUCAGUUAACAAGUCAACAUCAAUUUCUUUUGCUGUAAGAAAGCUUGAGGAAGGUGGCUUGAGAUUCGUCUUAGGUGUUUAUAGCCUCUUGCCUAUGCAGUCGGAGAGAUUGAGGUCUGCAGCGUAGAUCCUUCGGGGCUAAAUGCAUUUGUGCUAAGUUAUAGCAUUUUAUAGACAACUUGUUGACUAUGAUUUGUCUUGUAGCUUACUCGCUUAUGUUAUUUUACCUACGCUUAGGAUGUUGAACUACUGAGACAUAGA
rnacentral:rRNA from 1 species